rnacentral:rRNA from 1 species
GACGAACGCUGGCGGCGUGCUUAACACAUGCAAGUCGAACGGAAAGGCCCUGCUUUUGUGGGGUGCUCGAGUGGCGAACGGGUGAGUAACACGUGAGUAACCUGCCCUUGACUUUGGGAUAACUUCAGGAAACUGGGGCUAAUACCGGAUAGGAGCUCCUGCUGCAUGGUGGGGGUUGGAAAGUUUCGGCGGUUGGGGAUGGACUCGCGGCUUAUCAGCUUGUUGGUGGGGUAGUGGCUUACCAAGGCUUUGACGGGUAGCCGGCCUGAGAGGGUGACCGGCCACAGUUGGACUGAGAUACGGCCCAGACGCAUACGGGAGGCAGCAGUGGGGAGUAUGGCACAAUGGGCGGAAGCCUGAUGCAGCCACGCCGCGUGCGGGAUGACGGCCUUCGGGUUGUAAACCGCUUUCGCCUGUGACGAAGCGUGAGUGACGAUAAUGUGUAAAGAAGCAACGGCUAACUACGUG